GACGAACGCUGGCGGCGUGCUUAAUACAUGCAAGUCAACUUGACUUUAGAUAGCAAUAUCGAAAAGUAGGGUGGCGCACGGGUGCGUAACGCGUAGGUAAUCUGCCCUGAGGUCUGACAUAACCCGUCGAAAGGCGGGCUAACAUCAGAUGAUAUAUAAUCACGACAUCGUGGAAAUAUCAAAUCUUCGGAGCCUUGGGAUGAGCCUGCGUCUGAUUAGGUAGUUGGCGGAGUAAUAGCCCACCAAGCCUACGAUCAGUAGCUGGUCUGAGAGGAUGAUCAGCCACACUGGAACUGAGACACGGUCCAGACUCCUACGGGAGGCAGCAGUAAGGAAUAUUGCUCAAUGGGGGAAACCCUGAAGCAGCAACGCCGCGUGAAGGAUGAAAUACUUUGUAUGUAAACUUCUGUAAGAUGGGAAAAAUAUUCUCCUCGGGAGAAUUGAUUGUACCAUCAGAGUAAGCCCCGGCUAACUACGUGCCAGCAG
rnacentral:rRNA from 1 species